AAAAACAAAAGGGAAAUGCUUCAAACUUUCGAACAUAUUCGACCAUAAAUAGGAUAUAAAUGUGUAAAUAUGGAUGAUUACAUGAUAUGGAAACAUCUUAUGUGACCCCUUUAUAAGAUUGUCACAUUGUGGAACUUGUCGAGCUGAAUCAGCUAAGAAUCAUGCACUAUCAACAAACAUUAGAUUUGUGUCUAUUUUGAGUUUAGACAUUACGAUAUAGUAGUAUCUUUUUGAGUAAAUGGUCAAAGUUGAUGCCUUUGUGAUUAAUGAUCAUAAGUUUUUGGUGUGGUUUUGAA